rnacentral:rRNA from 1 species
CAGUAGCCGCGGGAAUACGAAGGGUGCAAGCGUUACUCGGAAUUACUGGGCGUAAAGCGUGCGUAGGUGGUGGUUUAAGUCCGUUGUGAAAGCCCUGGGCUCAACCUGGGAAUUGCAGUGGAUACUGGGUCACUAGAGUGUGGUAGAGGAUAGUGGAAUUUCCGGUGUAGCAGUGAAAUGCGUAGAGAUCGGAAGGAACAUCUGUGGCGAAGGCGACUAUCUGGGCCAACACUGACACUGAGGCACGAAAGCGUGGGGAGCAAACAGGAUUAGAUACCCCAUAGUCCCUGUCUCUUAUACA